CACACAACAGAGUACCUCAACACACUUUGCUGUGUGUGUGUGUGUGUGUGUGUGUGUGUGUGUGUGUGUGUGUGUGUGUGUGUGUGUGUGUGUGUGUGUGUGGAAGAGGGUGGUUACUGUCAGUAUUUUGUUAGUCUCAGUAGAGUUCUCCACGGUUUCUCGGUUGGUUUCUCGGUGUCCUGUGUUCGCCUUUUGUGCUUAUGGCUGUGCAUCUGUUUUGGAUGUCUCUAGUGCUGUCUUUCGUUGUUUAGCUUUAUUUGUGUCCAUGGCAUUCUUGUCUGUCUGGCUUGGUGUACAUAUGUGUCAGUCUUGGCAUGUGUCUACCUCUUUUGUGUGGCCAUGUCAUUCUGUCCCUCUGUACAUUUCUCACCAUACUCAUCAAUUUUUAUGUCGUUGAACAGUGGGUUUUCUUUGGCUGACGUGGUGGAAUCCUCCAGCUUUGCCUGCCAAAUGAUACAGUGUAUAUACAUUAUGAAACACGCUCACUAACAAAACUCAAACACAACCCCAUGCAGCCACCCUGCUGUUUGGACAAUUCGGUCACGUUGCGCCCUUAAUCCUUACUCUCUCUCUACAUAGUUUGCUGUUACCCUUCUCCAUCUAACCGUUGAGCUUGAUCAACUCGAUACAUUUGGUCAGCUUUAUUCAGUAUAUUCAAUCCUUCCCUCUCUCUGCCCCACCACCCCCCCUGGUGUUCUCUCUUCCCUCCCCUUCACUCUGUCUCACCACUUUGGUCAACUCAGACGGUGUUUCCUCCACCACUGGCUCGGUCAUGUCGAAGGUACGUCUGUGUGACAAACAUGGAGACAAAGUCAAAUCGGCUCCACUCUUUCUUGUUGUCUGCCCCACUGACCUUGCACAGCUGCUGCACAGUGAGGUGACGAAAAUGGAGAUGAUGAGGAGGAGGAGCAGGGAGAAGACACCCAUGUCUGGAGAAACAGUGGCUGUGGAGAGCAUCCAGGAACCCAGGAAUUCUCUGCCUACGGGGGCCAUAUUGACUGAGACUGAGAGGGGGGAGGGGGAUUUAACACAGAUAUCAUCAGAUCUAUAUAAUAUAACUAUAGGCAAUAUAGUCACACUCUUUGGUCCCAUCAAGUUAUUUAACACUUCAGUACGAGAGGAAGAAGUCAUUUUAGAUUUUCUUUAAAUUAUUUUAUGUAUCACUAACAACUACUUUAUUUCACAAAUUUGUUCAUGUUUCCAGCAAAAAAUGGUGCUACCAGUAUGUCUGCCUCAAGCUAAGAAAAGCAAGCAGCAACAUUGUAUAUUCAAACUACGCUGACGUGAGACCUAUUUUCCCUUACAAAUGAUAUGUAAACUUGGAUGCUCAAUACAGACGCAGGCCUGUUUUUCAGGAACUGGAAAGCAGGACAAACUGCUUUUUAUUUUAUUUUAUUUAUUAUCUGAAACUAGAGGUCUGGUCAUUGUUUUUGCAAUAUUUUAUACAUAUUUUUGUAAUUUUGUUGUUUUGGCCACGUGAGAAUGUUCUUGGCGUGUCAAUUAAUCACAUUUCAGUGGAGUUGAAAAGAAUGGAAGGCUAAAUGAUUGACAGCGAAGAAAGGAAGGAGUUUACUAAAGGAAAGAGUCAGACAUGAUAGGAAUUACUAACAACCAAAGUUAGCGUAACCAUUAUCAACUUUACAAAACUGGCCCAAAUAGGAUCAAUCCUAACGGUUGUCUGUAAUGGGCUAUUCUUUACAAAUUGUGUGGUUUGGUUAAGAAUAAAUCACUCUUGAAGUUACACAUACAGAGCGA